UUUCAACAAGGACAAGCGGCCGCCGCCGCGGCGCGCUCGUGCCCCGCCGACAUUUAAUCGAACCGUGCAUAUAUACACAUGUACAUAUGUGCGUGUGUGUGUGUAUAUGCGUGACAUUUGACUCGUCCAAUUUCCCCGCGGCCUCGCUCCCUUGCAAAAUCGUCUUCGAGCUUCGUUUCUUUCCCGUUACUUUUCUUCUUCGUUUUCCUCUUCUUUUCCACUCUUCCUUCCCUAAGGCUGCGUUUCCUCUCACCCCUCCCUUGCGUGUGCCAUCAGUUGACAUUUGCGAACGACUGGGACACGGAUCGCCACGAUGGAGGCGAACGGAGUGGAAUCUCGAGACCGAGCGUCAACUAUAAGGGGAUUAUGGGAUUGCGAAUUUAGAAAAAUUUAGGGGGUAAAAUCGGCGUGUAGCAUGAUACGAUACGGUGAUAUCGAAUUAUAUUUGGAGUGUGUGUGUUGAUUUAACUCUUUAAGUUUAUCUCUGAAUUUCUGCUCGUGUCGGUAGCGUUUCUUUGCAAGAAAAGGUGAGAGAAGAAAACGUGGCGCGGUGUUUUCGAUUGUUCCCCGAUACGAUCGGCUCCCGAAUUUCGAAGAAGAAGAAGAAAGUGGCCGAUGGAAGUCUAAGCACGAAAAAAAAAAUGAAGAAAGAAGAAGACUAAAGAAGGCGGACUAUAUUUCAGAGGAGGGGGAGGAAAGAAAUAAUAGGAGAAAGGUGGAUUCCGCUCGGGAGAGACACAGGUAAAAGUGAAAUGAUGCGAGAUAUCAGCGGUUUGACAAUCGCUAACGACUCUAUUCUCUUCGUCGAAGGGUUGCUCGUAAACCAUUGCUCGUGAACCUGCGUAAACUCCAACUCUCUUCUUCGCAUUACGAAUAAAUGGCCGAUACUCGCCCACCUUCCACGAAACACCUCGGCCAUGCCUAUCGGCCGCUCAUUAUCUUCAUCGAGGAUCGUGCCUUUCGAAACGAGAGGUUGCAACAUUGUUCUUUCGCUUCCAAUUGUUUACCUGUCCGACGGCCAUCGAUGACCCUCCUUCCUUGCUGCGGAACGACACGGGCAAAUUUAAUUUAUUUGGUCCCCGACCUUGCCCGGGAUGCGACGGGAAAACUAAUCUUACUUCGUUUAAUUUUCUUUUUUUUUCUUCACAAGAAAGAAGAAAGAUCCGACUUACCAUUAAAUUUCUAUCUACGAAGAGAUGAAAAAUUUACAAAUAUAUCGAUUAUCUCCUCGUAUACAUGUAAAUACAACGAAUGAAAGAAAGAAGAAGAGAAGCCUCGUUGAUCUCGUUCGGUUUCGAUCGAGUCUGGCUUGCAUUUUCUCGUUCCGUCCUCGCCGGUUGCAUUCCAACAGGGGACUUUUCAAGAGGCGCGCUUGCGUAAUCGAUCGUUGCGCGCGAGCAUCCCCGAUAAAAUAUCAGGCCCCCUGUUAAACGGGAGCCGACCAAUCAUUUAUGAUUUUUAAUCAUAGACGGGCCCCGCAUCUCUCGUGAAUCGAUCAAUUGACGUUUAAUUAACGUGGCCCGGCUUCGUUCUGGUCGGCGCCGGAAUUCAUCGAGAAUAAAAACCGACGAUGUGUAUAUAUACGUGUAUAUAGCGAUGAAGAGGUGGCUGGUUUUUCACACUGUCCUCGAUCAUCGCGACAGCCCAUGAGAAGCCGAUAAAGCGUGACGUGAAAAGAAAAAACGCGAUCAACAAGCCGCCUGCGUUGCCAUUGUGAGUGAAAUGAGUAUAUCGGCGAGAAAGGGGGGAGUCGGUUGGAUAAUUUAACGAUCGUAUCGAGCGUGUGGUGAAAAGUAGGUUCAUUCAGUUUCGUGUAUACUUGGCCCAUUCAUCGGCGGUUUCGCGAUUGAGAUGGGUUGAAUCGCUCGUCUAGACGAGCCGACACGGAUGAUUUGCAAUCACCGCUCCGAUGGAUCAAUGGGCAGUGUGUUUGGUAAAUGGAGUGGUGUCGGUGAAUAGCUACUGGACUUCACGGGCCACCAGCCACGGUCCAUCAUCUAUACGUACACCUGAAAAAUUUUGAAACAACAACACUGUUAAGACAAUUUUAAUCUUUAAUAUAUCACACUAUAUCGACUGUACCAGUGGAAAUUUUAAAUUUGUACAAGAAGAUAUAUAUAUAUAUAUACUUUGAUAAAAGUUUAUACAUUUCAUACGAAAAAAUGUGGGAGAGAAUCAUUCGCUUUCGUUUCUUCGUCCGUUUUUUUCCCCUCCGCUCAUCCGUUCGUGGGAAACGAAGUGAAGAGCGCGAGAUAUUUCGCAAAUAUUGGCUCAUCAGUUACGCACUCUAAUUGAAAUAUUUCCCUGGGCAAUGGUUAAUCGCGAAUUAAGAUAUCAAUCAUGCACGCUUGUAAACUCGAAUAAUUAUCGUCUUGGGCGUCAUCUCUUCGAGGCAUUUCUUCUAACGUCUCCUCUAGCGGCGAAGGCUGCACAACGAAGGCGGCAACCCCGUCCUCGGGGCUCGUUUCGACAGAGCAGCCCACAGUUCCACAGCCGGCUUAACUUACGUACAACGAGGCUGCCCCCUCCCCCCGAGCAUCGAUGCGUCACGAAAUGUUGAGCCGCCUCGAAUACCGAAGAAUUCCUAUCGCUUAUCCGCAUAUUUUCAAGGGUCACCGAGCCGGGCCGAGAACGUGCUUCGCUCUCUCGCCGCCUUCUACCGCGAGCUCUCCGCCUCGUCGAGGGUGGAAACCACGCUUCGAACAUCUUUCCGAUUCUCCACUCUCGAACGAGAGAGAGAGUAAAAAGGAAAAAAUUGUAAAAUUGAAUCAUUUUCAGAUUUUCAGAAUUCUGAGGCGAAUGAAGAGACUCCUUCCCCUUAUCGCGGUUCGUGGCCAUCGUAAAAAACAAACUGGCCAUUCGAUCGUGGCCAAGAGAAGAAGCCGAGAUAAGAAGGGACGAAAGGGGAUCAUUUCGGUUCGAUGUGAGUCGGAGCAUUUUUCUCUUUUCCUUUUUUCCCUCCUCUCUUUCGGGGGCAGGCAUCUUAUCACCGUGAAAGGCGUCCACGUCGAUUCGAAAGGGAGAUUCCUUCGUGGUGCCGUCACGGAUUUCAUGCAUUCCUGCGCGGACGCCGCGGGAGGCUUCCUUAAAACCGAAAGUGAUACCGGGCGAGGCGGACGCCGCGGACGUGAAAAGACGGGCGGAGAGGCUCGGAGGCAGCUCUCGUACACUCUCUCGCGUGACACGGCUCCAUACGAGCGGGAGAAAACACGUGGAGGGACAGUGAGAGAUAAAAAGGAGAGGAUAAAAGCGGAGUUUUUCUUUUUAUUUAUAUUUAUUUAUUCUUUCUUUCUUUCUUUCCUUUCGCCCGAGGACGUAAGGAACGAGGUGGACAGAGGUAAGUGCACCUGUGUCGCGGCAACCCGGCCGGUCGAUCGAUCGGACAGAUAACUCGGGCACGGAGGGGAAACAGGUGUAAAUAGAUCGACGAAUCCAUAUAACUCGGAUGUUUUCGAUUGAGACAAAUUUCCUUCACGAGGGAGGGAGGGGGAUACUUAAUCCCAUCUGAUUUAAAGACGUUUUAUAUAAUAAGCGGUGAAACCUAGUUGAUGCAUCUAGUUAUGUCUUAUUCAAUUUUUGAGAAUUGAACGAAGAGAUUAAAAAUGUAAGGUGGGGGGAGAGUUUAGAAAUACUAAUUCGAUAUAACAGGAAACGAAUAUUGUUUCGGCAAGGUAAGGUAAUUAUCGUAGAAGCCAUUUUCUAUAAGGUCGUUUUCUUCUUUUUUUUGCUCGCCUUCUAGGUCGUCGAUUUCUUCAACGGCUACGGUUUUUGCUUUAUGCAAUGUUCACGGUGACGCGCAACGAGACCUUCGACGAUCUCGGGAGAACGAAUCAUUCUUGUUUUAUUAGUUUGCUUCUUUCCUCUCCUGCAUUAGGCAACGUGGAAUAUUUCUUCGAUAAACCACGAUGUUUCAACUUUCCUUUUUUUCUUAAGAUUUCUCUUCGAUCCACACGCGUAAUUUGUACGCGUUAAUUCGAUUUCCCAAAGAUGGAAAGAAACGUUACCUUUAUAGAAUUUAUAUCGAGAAACGAGAUCGACGACACGCGUUCGAUCCACGAGAAAGAAAAAGAAAUAACACGAAGAUCGUCGAUCGAAUCGACCACGUUCUCACGUUCAUGCUGCCUCGAUUAAUUUCCUCCUCUUAGGAAACAGGGGUACAACCACAGCUGGCGAAUUUCCAGGCACCUGGCCAAGAAGCUGGAAUCGAGUGGUGGAUCUGGAAAAGAUACCCGAUGCAAGAGAAAGAAAGAAAAAGAAAAAAAGAAGGGAAGAAAGGCACGAAAUCUGGCGGAAGAAAGACGUUCGAGAGAAAUUGAGGAAGGGGUUGGCUAGAUUCCGAUGGGAGUGGACCUCGUUUUUUGGGAAGGGAAUUAAUUUGGACGCGAUGCUUUUUUGGACGUGGAAUGAAAGAAUGUGAUGGGAAAGAUGAGCGAAGCUUCCAGCGCUCCAAAGGACAACGUGUCAAUAAUCUAGCCGAGGCAACUACUCCCCGUGGAGUGUGGAUAGAAAUCGUUGUAGUCCUUGAACACUGUGCAAGAUUACGGCAAGAUUUAUGGCAAGAUUGAUAAAUUCGUCGAAAUUUGAAUGUUUCGAAUUUAAUGAAAUUCAUUUCUUUAGAAAUGUUUGACUCAGAAUGACAAUCGAAGAAUUGUAAAAAUGGCGAAAUUGCCGUAAAAUAAUUAGGUUCUAAGAAAAAUUUUGAGCAUUGUGUAAAAAAAGAUUUAUCAUGGCUGUCGCAGGUAA